AUUGAACGCUGGCGGCAGGCCUAACACAUGCAAGUCGAGCGGAUGAAGGGAGCUUGCUCCUGGAUUCAGCGGCGGACGGGUGAGUAAUGCCUAGGAAUCUGCCUGGUAGUGGGGGAUAACGUCCGGAAACGGGCGCUAAUACCGCAUACGUCCUGAGGGAGAAAGUGGGGGAUCUUCGGACCUCACGCUAUCAGAUGAGCCUAGGUCGGAUUAGCUAGUUGGUUGGGUAAAGGCCUACCAAGGCGACGAUCCGUAACUGGUCUGAGAGGAUGAUCAGUCACACUGGAACUGAGACACGGUCCAGACUCCUACGGGAGGCAGCAGUGGGGAAUAUUGGACAAUGGGCGAAAGCCUGAUCCAGCCAUGCCGCGUGUGUGAAGAAGGUCUUCGGAUUGUAAAGCACUUUUAGUUGGGAGGAAGGGCAGUAAGUUAAUACCUUGCUGUUUUGACGUUACCAAAAGAAUAAGCACCGGCUAACUUCGUG
rnacentral:rRNA from 1 species